AGCACGAAGUUUUAUAACUAAUAUUGUUUAUACCCUUCUUACUCUUUAGAAUGCUGCACAAACUGGAUCAUGUGGACGACACCACCUGUCGGAAAGUGAAGAAAUCAACCAGUACCGUACCAACAUCAGGCGCUCAAUUCAGACCGCCUGCCUUACAUAUCCUCGUCCAAUCUCUCCACGUGCUGCGGGCUCCCCUACAGUCACGUGGUCUCAACCACCAGUGGUAGAUAACACAACGAGGCGGAAUGCAUUUGAGUUUACAAGACCAUCAAGGAUUUACC